rnacentral:tRNA from 1 species
AGCAGCGUGGCUCAGUGGAAAGAGCCCGGGCUUGGGAGUCAGAGGUCAUGGGUUCCAUUCCCAACUCUGCCA